rnacentral:rRNA from 1 species
GAUGAACGCUGGCGGCGUGCCUAAUACAUGCAAGUCGAGCGAAUGGAUUAAGAGCUUGCUCUUAUGAAGUUAGCGGCGGACGGGUGAGUAAUACGUGGGUAACCUGCCCAUAAGACUGGGAUAACUCCGGGAAACCGGGGCUAAUACCGGAUAACAUUUUGAACCGCAUGGUUCGAAAUUGAAAGGCGGCUUCGGCUGUCACUUAUGGAUGGACCCGCGUCGCAUUAGCUAGUUGGUGAGGUAACGGCUGACCAAGGCAACGACGCGUAGCCGAACUGGGAGGGUGAUCGGCCACCCUGGGACUGAGACACGGCCCAGACUCCUACGGGAGGCAGCAGUAGGGAAUCUUCCGCAAUGGACAAAAGUCUGACGGAGCAACGCCGCGUGAGUGAUGAAGGCUUUCGGGUCGUAAAACUCUGUUGUUAGGGAAGAACAAGUGCUAGUUGAAUAAGCUGGCGCCUUGACGGUACCUAACCAGAAAGCCACGGCUAACUACGUGCCAGCAGCCGCGGUAA